AACGCGGACGCUUUCCCAAGAUGUGCUGGGGGACGCGCCCAAACGGCCCGCAAACAUGGGGGGAAGUUGGGCGGUUUCUAUUCUGGGACGAGGGUUAACUUCUUUGGGUUCUGAACAGUAUGCGGAGCCUGAGAAAGACCAGAGAGCGCCACUUACUAUGUGGAAAACUAAUGGAUUCCCAGAGGAGCAGAGAAAGUUAGGGCACUUUGAGGGCUGGGCAGUCUGCCUGAGCAGCUCUGGGCAGGGCGCCGGCACAGUGGGCGGGACCUCCUGUCCAGGCUCCCCCUUUAUCCCCUCCCAGUUUUACACUUUGAUAUAUGAUAAAGUUCGUACACCAGCAAAAGAAGCUCCCCUUCUCCCGCUGCAACCAUGGUUAAAUUUCAGCCAAUUGAGUUUCGCUUGAACUUUCUACUAUUUUGAAGAAAUUUCCACAUUCUCUUGCAUAUUUUUUUAAAAACUAGUUUAUCUUUUAUUUCUUCUUUGACAGUUUUGUACAUGUAAACAAUGUAUCUCGAUUAUAUGCACCCCAGCCUGGAUCAAGAACCCUCAAUCCAGCCCCUCCCCCGCCACACCAUCUUCUCUUUUGUUAAUAAUCCACUGAUUCCAGUUAGUGCCCCCUGCCGGAAUGCUGACCUGACCUUGUGCAGGUCUGGCUCAGAUAACCAGGGAGUUUACCAUGCAAUGGCACGUCAUAGCCAGAAGACAGCAUUUCAUAGCACUCUUCCCUUCCUCUGGCUCUUCACUCUCCCCCUACCCCACCCCCCACUUCUUUGAUUUUCCUUUAGCGUUGGGUUGAUAUGUUCUAUAUAAGCUGAGCAUUCAAUAGACAUUUAUUCUAAGCACUCUGCCUACUUAUGAAACUGCAUAAACCGGUGCCUAGUAUGGAGAGCAACUUCUCUGGCCAAGCAAGGAUCUGCUGCAUCCAGGCCAAGCAUAGAUGCUUGAUGAAGUCCAGGCUGGGCACAUCAUCUAACUCUGGCUCCUGAGACUCUAGCUCCUGGGAGAAGCCUGUAGACAGCUUUCUCUCUGCCCAGGACUCCAGUCCAUGAAAUGGUUCUGCCUACAUUCAGGGUGUGUCUCCCCACCUCAAGUCAGCCGGUCUGAAAACUCCCUCGCAGACAAGUCUAGAGAUUUGUCUCCUAGAUGAUUCUAGAUCCUGUUAGAUUAGUCAUCGGUAUGAACUGCUAUCAUAUCUUUCUCUUUCUGAACUUUGUGGCUCAUGUUCUUAUUCUUAAAGCUUCAAAC